rnacentral:rRNA from 1 species
UACGAAGGGUGCAAACGUUGCUCGGAAUUAUUGGGCGUAAAGCGCACGUAGGCGGCUUUGCAAGUCCCAUGUGAAAUCCCACGGCUCAACCGUGGAAGUGCAUGGGAAACUGCAGAGCUUGAGUACUUAAGAGGAUCGCGGAAUUCCCGGUGUAGAGGUGAAAUUCGUAGAUAUCGGGAGGAACACCAGUGGCGAAGGCGGCGAUCUGGGAAGAUACUGACGCUGAGGUGCGAAAGCGCGGGGAGCAAACAGG